CCCAGCUGAGCUUGGAGACCAUGACCUAAUAGUGACACUAAUCCCAGACUGAUGGUGUUCUACUAUUCAGCCAGACUAAGAAACCUACUUAUCAGACAAUUUGGGUGGAUUAAUCCAAGGCUGGGGAUUUACAAGCCGCCCCCCCCCCAAAUUAAUAGCAUCUGAAGACAGCAGCCUGAGUGUUAAGACAGGAGUGUGUGAGAAGUAUCAGCAAAUGCAGUGGCCCUUCUGCGACAUGGCCUAAUAUGGUGUACAUUCAGUUCCUCAUUCUGUGACAGAGAUGAUUUAUUUUUUCCAAUCAAGGUUGUCUUUAAUUUAAAAAUCCAUUAAAGUUCUAAUUAAUCAAAGUGAUACUGUUUUUGAAUAAUUUAUAUAGUAAUGCAAUGGCAUGGGGACAGUAAAAUGUUAAAUUCCAUGUGUGCCAAACAGACUGAAGUAGCUGAGAGGCUAAAUUUCAUGAGCUGACUCAUGUUCAAAUUAUUUAACAGCUACUUAUCUAGUCACUGACCAAGUGGGAUAAGCUCUAGCUGGUAAUGGGUCCAGGGGGGCACUUGUCUGACAUUUUUAUUGCUGGUUGGUAAAGAGGUCAGAGUAUACUGAGGGAGUGGCAGGGCUGCAAGGUGGUGGGGGACAGUCUGGAGGUUUGCAGCAGCCUAUUUGUCAACAAACAUAGAAGUCUUUCAACGCUUCAAUGAUUGGUCCAGCCCUGGUGGUGUGUGCUACCUGAAUGCCAGUCCUGCUUUUUAAGUGAAAAAACAGUAUGCUUGGUCAUGGAAAUAUACUUCUAAAGUUUGGGAGCCCUGACAAGUUUUCUUCUCAGUAUAUUUAAUUCUUUGCUGGGCUUUGUGUUUUUUAAAAUGUCAUUGCACAUUCUGCUUUAAGGGACAGAGCUAUUUCCUCUAGAGCAGGAAACAUGAAAUAUGAAGUUAGCCAAAUUACUAAAGAAGACAUUUGGAAAUCAAGAUAGAUCAGUGAGAUCAGGACCAAAGUAAUUAGAGGAUGAAAAGAAAAUAGAAAAAAGAAAAGUCAGUUAAUCUUGAUACUGUUUGUUAUAACCUUAGUAUUUUCUAUUGCUAUCAAUUAAAAAUAAACAGCAGCUCAUUAUAGGAAACA
rnacentral:lncRNA from 12 species